rnacentral:rRNA from 1 species
AUUGAACGCUGGCGGCAGGCCUAACACAUGCAAGUCGAACGAGUGGCGGACGGGUGAGUAAUGUCUGGGAAACUGCCCGAUGGAUGGGGAUAACUACUGGAAACGGUAGCUAAUACCGCAUACCAUCGGAUGUGCCCAGCUGGGAUUAGCUAGUAGGUGGGGUAAUGGGUCACCUAGGCGACGAUCCCUAGCUGGUCUGAGAGGAUGACCAGCCACACUGGAAAUGAGACACGGUCCAGACUCCUACGGGAGGCAGCAGUGGGGAAUAUUGGACAAUGGGCGAAAGGCUGAUGCAGCCAGGCCGCGUGAAGGAAGAAGGCGUUCGGGUUGUAAAGUACUUUCAGCGAGGAGGCGUUACUCGGAGAAGAAGCGCCGGCUAACUCCGUGCCAGCAGCCGCGGUAAUAC